GUGACCAGCGGAGGGUC
rnacentral:rRNA from 1 species